GACGAACGCUGGCGGCGUGCCUAAUACAUGCAAGUUGAGCGCUGAAGGUUGGUACUUGUACCAACUGGAUGAGCAGCGAACGGGUGAGUAACGCGUGGGGAAUCUGCCUUUGAGCGGGGGGCAACAUUUGGAAACGAAUGCUAAUACCGCAUAAAAACUUUAAACACAAGUUUUAAGUUUGAAAGAUGCAAUUGCAUCACUCAAAGAUGAUCCCGCGUUGUAUUAGCUAGUUGGUGAGGUAAAGGCUCACCAAGGCGAUGAUACAUAGCCGACCUGAGAGGGUGAUCGGCCACAUUGGGACUGAGACACGGCCCAAACUCCUACGGGAGGCAGCAGUAGGGAAUCUUCGGCAAUGGACGAAAGUCUGACCGAGCAACGCCGCGUGAGUGAAGAAGGUUUUCGGAUCGUAAAACUCUGUUAGUAGAGAAGAACGUUGGUGAGAGUGGAAAGCUCAUCAAGUGACGGUAACUACCCAGAAAGGGACGGCUAACUACGU
rnacentral:rRNA from 1 species